rnacentral:lncRNA from 1 species
GCUCAAGAAGAUACAAAUGGGUUGCAUCAUUUCUUGUUCUACUAGCUUUCUCAGCUGCUGGACAAGUUGAAGAUGGUACGCCCUUCUUCUUCUCUUUCUACUUUACUCUUUUAAGCUUCACCAAAUUAAACUGCAUUAUUUUUUUCAUUAAUUAAUUUCAUACUUCAAUCUUGAUGAGAUGUAUGUACCUGCGUGGAAUUAGAUCUGUUGAAGAAUUCCGUUUUGUCCUCAUUUUCAGCUUAAAUGUAUGUUAAUUUACCAUUUAAGGACUCAAAUUUUAACAUUGAUAGAAACAUUUAGUUUUUAAGCAAUAUAUGUGUUCUUAAAUUUUGUUACCUCUAUCUCAAACAAGAUUAAUUUCCUCCAAUUUCGGAGCAGCAUUUUAAUAUAUGUUAAUAUCACAUGAAAAUAUUACUAUAAGUUACAAUAGAUUUUUUUAUAAUAUCUAAUAGCGUUAUUAAUGGCAGUAUUAUUAGCAUUAAUAAGUAAUCAUGUUGUUGAUGUUGAUGAUCAUGAGGUGUUAUUGCGACACCCUCACCCUGUGCUGUAAGAAUCAUGACAAUGCAGGGGUUAUGGUCUUCACUCUACACAAUUAAACCGCUACUUCUAUUUUGAUUUGCAUAUAAAAUAUUAUAAGUUCUCUUCAAUUUCUAUAUUUCGUAGUAUUCGUACACCGUCAUUGGGAGAGUAGGGGUAGGGGUUGUGAGUUGGUAGACGAGGCAAGCAGUCUCGUGACUAAUUUCAAUAAUUAUCAUUUGUUACAUUUUAAAGCACACAAAGGUACUACCGAUGGGACUUAUUUGUAAAUGUUCCUUCAUAUGUGACCAUAUUUGUGAAGAGCAGUGCCGUGUGAAGUGAAUGUUCCUUCAUAUCGUACAUUAUUUUGUGGUACGACUUUUAAAUGGGCUCAAUAAUAAAUACAUUUUCUUUAUAUGGGUGAAGGCUCAUUCCCUCUAUUUUUCCAUAAUGUGUUCAAAAAAUAUAACUUUAUGUAUAUAUAAGUCUUCAGAUAAUAGACACUAAGCUUAAAUUAAUUCCAAAAAUUAGCUUAUGAAGCUUAGAUCUUAAAAAGGAGACAAUAUCGGAAACAAAGACAACUAAAUCUCAACUUCAAUGAGUUGAUAUCGCCUAAGUGAAGAUAUAUUUUUGUUAUAUAUCUUGAGUAAAAAAUUUAUUAUGGAAAUUCUGGGUUACCUUCUCUCAGUGCUGAAAGUUAUAGAGAAAAACAAAAACAACCCCAUAAUAUUUAUACUUAUUAAAUUACCAAUCCAACCUGAGUGUUGCAGGUCCGUUAGUUAACGGUGAUUUUGAGACACCUCCAUCAGGCGGUUUCUCUUCCGGCGACGGAUUCUCUGAUGGCCCUCUCGUACUCCCCAGCUGGAAAACAAACGGCACGGUGGAGCUAGUGGAAUCAGGGGAAAAACAGGGUGGGAUGAUCCUCAUCGUACCACAAGGUAGACACGCAGUUCGGCUCGGAAACGACGCCGAGAUAAGCCAAGAGCUCAAAGUGGAGAAAGGCUCCAUUUAUUCAGUCACCUUCAGCGCGGCUCGCACCUGUGCCCAGCUAGAGUCACUGAACGUGUCGGUUCCUCCCGCGUCACAGACUAUCGAUCUUCAGACUCUGUAUAAUGUCCAGGGCUGGGAUUCCUACGCGUGGGCCUUUCAAGCUGAGGAAGAUGACGCGCGUGUCGUUUUCACAAAUCCUGGCAUGGAAGAUGACCCUACUUGUGGGCCCAUUAUUGAUGAUAUUGCUAUCAAGAAGCUUUUCAAUCCAGAUAAGUCCAAAGGUAAGGUCACUUCUGUUUCUUAUUUGGGCCCAUUUCCAGCUGUUUAUCAUCACGUUUUGGUCAAACAUUUGAUUAUAAUUGAAAUAUCUAUGUGUUGGAGAAAAAAUAAGAAUGACAAAAACGAAAAACAAAAUAAGGUUUGGCAUAGAAGUACUGCAAAUCUCAAAAUUAGUUUUUGAUGUUUUCAUAACUUCUCAUAUUUGAGAGAAUUAGAAAAAAAUUCAGACGAUCAACAUGAAGCUGAGAAAUAGGUGUAUUCAUUCACCUUCAAGCUAGUUUUUCGACGACUUUAAUGUAUUUCUCACAUGGCUUGGACAUGAAACUCGUGAUGGAUGCAUAAACAAAAGACAUUCUUUUGAUGUAAAAAAAACAUGAAGCAGAAUGCAACAUGUAAAGAACUACAAAUGUUGCUAAAUUGUUCCUUAUGUUGGCUAUCGGAGCAGAUAAUGCAGUACUUAAUGGUGAUUUUGAAGAAGGUCCAUGGAUGUUCAGGAAUGCUUCCCUCGGCGUUUUGCUUCCAACUAACCUCGACGAGGAAACAUCGUCGCUACCUGGUUGGAUAGUUGAAUCAAAUCGAGCAGUUCGGUAUAUUGAUAAUUAUCACUUUACAGUUCCAGAAGGGAAAAGAGCUAUAGAAUUGCUUUCAGGAAAAGAAGGCAUUAUAUCCCAGAUGGUUGAAACCAAGCCCAACAAGCCAUACAGAUUGACAUUUUUGUUGGGCCAUGCAGGGGACUCAUGCAAGCAGCCACUGGCUGUUAUGGCGUUCGCCGGUGAUCAGGCCCAAAACAUCC